UACGUAAGGGGCGAGCGUUGUCCGGAGUUACUGGGCGUAAAGGGCGCGCAGGCGGUCUGGUAAGUUUGGAGUGACAGUGUUCGGCUUAACUGAGCAAGGCCUUCGAAAACUAUCAGACUUGAGCACUCAAGAGGGACAUAGAAUUCCGGGUGGAGUGGUGAAAUGCGUAGAUAUCCGGAGGAAUACCAAAGGCGAAGGCAGUGUCCUGGGGAGUGUCUGACGCUCAGGCGCGAAAGCUAGGGGAGCGAACAGG
rnacentral:rRNA from 1 species